CAGGUCAUAAAAAGCAAAAGCGUAGCACCGCUCGAGGUGCAGAUGGGACCUCCUGUGUAACUAUACCAUCCACACCGGACGGCCAGCAUCAGCCGGACUGAAUUGCUUUUGACUGCUCAAUAGGAAUGCAGGAAAAAUGUACAUUUACUUUGAAGAAUCGGAUACUGAGUCAGUAAUGGACAAAUAGGAACAACAGCAGCAACGAUUACAGCAGUACGUCUCUAUCUGGACCCGUAAUGAGUUCCCGGGGAGACGGGGCUACAUAUCAGAGCAGACUCAUUAAUACCUCAUCAUGCAGAUGGGCAUCGUAGCUCCAGUGCUGUUCUUCUCCUUUUUAGAGGACAUCUGUUGGAUGCUGCUUAGGGGCCAAACAGGUGGUAUUCCAGGCUUCUGCGACACAUAUCAUUUCAAUGAUGACACGUCAUUUUGUAGAAAUUCACACAAUUCCUCGGCUUCUCUACUGACAAUAUGGUUCCAGAAAUAUCAUGCACCGUUUUCCAGUCUAGUAAAUGUACACUUAUUAUUGCUGCGAAAAUGAGUGUGUGUGCAUUUUUUGUAGUAGUGUGCUGUAAUUAAUUCCAGAUAAAUUAGGGCUCUGUAUUUCCCUGUUUAUUAUCCUGUUGCACACUUUAAAUUACUAUAGUAAAAUGGUUGCCGAACAGUGUUUCAUUUUGACUGGAUCAUUGUUCAUUUGCAAUAAAAAAUUCACAGUGAGUUCAGAAGGUAUGUA